AAUUCUCAACCAUGUCUCUUCGUAGACAUGGCUUGGACUUGGGGGUUGCUGGCCGCGAAGGUGGUCGGCUCUCCUGAAAUGCAUUAGCGACGGACAGCAAGUCUGACGUGCACGGCCUAGACGUGAUAAUGAUCGUCGUCGCUGGAGCGUUGGACGAGCGCACACCAGUCUGUUCGCUUCCAAUCCCCCCUCGACUUGGGCGAGCUCUAGCUACUAGUCGGUUUCACGACCGACGAACACAGGGCUGGCUUUUCGUCCCUCGACG
rnacentral:misc_RNA from 1 species